rnacentral:misc_RNA from 1 species
CGCACCUUGCGCCCCUUGGCAUUCCGAGGGGCACGCCUGUUUGAGUGUCGUGAAUAUCUUCCGCCUUUGAUCGUGCGCUCGCUCGCCUUUCGAAUUGGUUCGGGAAUUGGGGGGUUUUGCGGGUCGCCUUGCGUCCGCUCCCCUUAAAUGCAUUAGCGGAAAGGGAACCUUCGCCGACCCUUGGUGUGAUAAACCCAUCUGCACCUCGACCGUUGCGCGGGCUUUCCUCUGCUUCCAACCCGGCUUCUGCCACCAUAAACGAACUUGACCUCAGAUCAGGCGGGACUACCCGCUGAACUUAU